AUUGAACGCUGGCGGCAGGCCUAACACAUGCAAGUCGAACGAGUGGCGGACGGGUGAGUAAUGUCUGGGCAACUGCCUGAUGGAGGGGGAUAACUACUGGAAACGGUAGCUAAUACCGCAUACCAUCGGAUGUGCCCAGAUGGGAUUACCUAGUCGGGUGGGUAAAGGCACACCUAGGGGACGAUCCCUAGCUGGUCUGAGAGGUGGACCAGCCACACUGGAACUGAGACACGGUCCAGACUCCUACGGGAGGCAGUAGUGGGGAAUAUUGCACAAUGGGCGCAAGCCUGAUCCAGCCAUGCCGCGUGUAUGAAGAAGGCCUUCGGGUUGUAAAGUACUUUCAGCGGUGAGGCGUUACCCGCAGAAGAAGCACCGGCUAACUCCGUGCCAGCCGCCGCGGUAAUUC
rnacentral:rRNA from 1 species